AUUGAACGCUGGCGGCAUGCCUUACACAUGCAAGUCGAACGGUAACGCGGGGACAACCUGGCGACGAGUGGCGAACGGGUGAGUAAUGCAUCGGAACGUGCCUGGUAGUGGGGGAUAACUGCUCGAAAGAGCAGCUAAUACCGCAUACGACCUGAGGGUGAAAGGGGGGGAUCGCAAGACCUCUCGCUAUCAGAGCGGCCGAUGUCGGAUUAGCUAGUUGGUGGGGUAAAGGCCCACCAAGGCGACGAUCCGUAGCUGGUCUGAGAGGACGACCAGCCACACUGGGACUGAGACACGGCCCAGACUCCUACGGGAGGCAGCAGUGGGGAAUUUUGGACAAUGGACGCAAGUCUGAUCCAGCCAUGCCGCGUGCGGGAAGAAGGCCUUCGGGUUGUAACCGCUUUGUCAGGAAGAAUCUUCUGAGUUAAUACC
rnacentral:rRNA from 1 species